rnacentral:rRNA from 1 species
AUGUCGUCGUCGGGCCAGAUCGCGCCGGCAGAACAAGUCUGCUACGUCCACUGCAACUUCUGCAACACCGUACUCGCGGUGAGUGUCCCUGGGAACAGCAUGCUCAACAUUGUGACAGUCCGGUGUGGGCACUGUACAAACCUACUUUCGGUGAGCCUGAGAGGGCAGAUGCACUCACCAGUCCCUCCUGCAGCACAGGUCCAGGAGAGCAGCCUGAGCAAGCCCAAUGGCAGCAACGGCUUCAUUCGCGAUCACAGCGUCUACAAUAGCCCGGAGUUUGGUUCGUCUUCUUCUUCGUCGUCGUCCAAAUUCCGGAUGCCGACGAUGAUGUUCUCGUCGCAAAAUGAUCUGCUGCAGGAACAGACGCUGCACGCACGUCCUCCGGAGAAGAGGCAGCGUGUUCCUUCAGCGUACAACAGAUUCAUCAAGGAAGAGAUACGAAGGAUAAAGGCAAACAACCCCGACAUUAGCCACAGGGAAGCCUUCAGCACUGCCGCAAAGAACUGGGCACAUUACCCAAACAUCCAUUUCGGUCUAAACCCCGAGCGCGACGGUGGCAAGAGGCUCGCCGUCGACGAUGCCGCGCCGGCUGCCAAGAAGAUCCAAGGUUUCUGUUCAUAG